rnacentral:rRNA from 1 species
GACAGAGGGUGCAAACGUUGUUCGGAAUUACUGGGCGUAAAGCGCGUGUAGGCUGCUCGGAAAGUCGGAUGUGAAAGCCCUGGGCUCAACCUAGGAAGUGCAUUCGAAACUUCCGAGCUGGAGUGCUGGAGAGGAAGGCGGAAUUCUCGGUGUAGAGGUGAAAUUCGUAGAUAUCGAGUGGAACACCGGUGGCGAAGGCGGCCUUCUGGACAGAAACUGACGCUGAGACGCGAAAGCGUGGGGAGCAAACAGG